rnacentral:rRNA from 1 species
GAAAUCUGGCCGUCAGGCCCGAGUUGUAAUUUGCAGAGGGAGUCUCGGGCGCGAUUCCGGUCUAAGUUCUUUGGAACAGGACGUCAUAGAGGGUGAGAAUCCCGUACGCGACCGGCCGUCAACCCCGUGUGAGGCUCCUUCGACGAGUCGAGUUGUUUGGGAAUGCAGCUCUAAAUGGGUGGUAAAUUUCAUCUAAAGCUAAAUACCGGCCAGAGACCGAUAGCGCACAAGUAGAGUGAUCGAAAGAUGAAAAGCACUUUGGAAAGAGAGUUAAAAAGCACGUGAAAUUGUUGAAAGGGAAGCGCUUGCAACCAGACUUGCCCGCGGGUGAUCAGCCGUCCUUCGGGGCGGUGCACUCGCCCGCGAACAGGCCAGUAUCGGUUUCGGUGGUCGGAUAAAGGUGACGGGAACGUAGCUCCCCCCGGGGAGUCUUAUAGCCCGUCGCGCAAUGCGAUCAGCCGGGACCGAGGACCGCGCUUCGGCUAGGAUACUGGCAUAAUGGUCGUUAGCGACCCGUCUUGAAACACGGACCAAGGAGUCUAACAUCUAUGCGAGUGUUUGGGUGUCAAACCCAUGCGCGCAAUGAAAGUGAACGGAGGUGGGAACCUUUCGAGGGGCACCAUCGACCGAUCCUGAUGUCUUCGGAUGGAUUUGAGUACGAGCAUAGCUGUUGGGACCCGAAAGAUGGUGAACUAUGCGUGAAUAGGGUGAAGCCAGAGGAAACUCUGGUGGAGGCUCGCAGCGGUUCUGACGUGCAAAUCGAUCGUCAAAUUUGCGUAUAGGGGCGAAAGUAAGUUGCAAUACAUUUGAUACCUAAGAUCCAAUAACUAACAAUUCAAACAGGACUAAUCGAACCAUCUAGUAGUGAUCGGCCAGUUACUAGAGAUACAUCAAGGGACACGGUCCCUGUAGUCCGCUAUUUCAAUAGCGAGGCGACAUCGUCGGUCUUCGGGGAUCCCCUCCCAGGGCGAUCCGAAAUGGGCAUCCGCCCACUCACAGGCUAAGUGACGGUGGCCGUGUCCCCCUGGGGCUCGCGGUUAGGAGAUAGUCGCCGGCCCCCUUCAACGGAGGUCCGCGUGGGAGCUGGUUCCUGCYGAAGUUUCCCUCASGAUAGCAGUAACGUUUUCASUUUUAUGAGGUAAAGCGAAUGAUUAGAGGCCUUGGGGCAGAAACUGCCUUAACCUAUUCUCAAACUUUAAAUAUGUAAGAAGUCCUUGUUACUUAAUUGAACGCRGACAUUUGAAUGCACCGUUACUAGUGGGCCAUUUUUGGUAAGCAGAACUGGCGAUGCGGGAUGAACCGAACGCGAGGUUAAGGUGCCGGAAUAUACGCUCAUCAGACACCACAAAAGGUGUUAAUUCAUCUAGACAGCCGGACGGUGGCCAUGGAAGUCGGAAUCCGCUAAGGAGUGUGUAACAACUCACCGGCCGAAUGAAUUAGCCCYGAAAAUGGAUGGCGSUCAAGSGUGUUACCUAUACCUCGCCGCCAGGGUGAUACGAUGCCCGCCGAGUAGGCAGGCGUGGGGGUCCGCAGAAGCCUG